AGUUAUUGGCAAGUACCA
rnacentral:snRNA from 1 species